ensembl:lncRNA
UAGAAAUCAAAUUUAUUAAUUCAGUUAAAGGUGAGUGACUUUGACACACUGCAGGCUAGACUGAGGGGUUACGCAUCACCAGUGGUGACCUGUACAAACGUCAAUAUAAAUUAAAAGUAUUUUAAUAAUAAUUUAGUUAUUAGCGAGCCUGGCUAUUUAUGUUUUCUGCACUUGGACAUAUUUUCUUUAUUAUAUAUGUAGAAUUGAAAAAAAGCACAACAUUGCAUACUUGCAAUUUACAGAUAUACAUAUUUAAUGAAUUGAUUAUUUGCAGUGCUGCCACGCCUGUGUCUCUAAUAUGGUUGCGUCUUCAGGUCGUGGCAUCUUCACUUUAGCCAAUUUCAAACAAGGAGACUUUGUGGUCGAGUAUAGAGGGGAGCUUAUUGAUGCAACUGAAGCUGAACACAGAUGUAACCUGUACCCCAGCGCAUGUUCAGUCUUCAUGUUUGAAUUCAUAUGGAAGCAGAAGACAUUGUGGUAAAUUCAAAAUGACUGAACGUUUACAUUUCUAUUGCAAGGUCAGGAUUUCUGAAGCAAACAUCUCAUAUUGCUCUUUAACGAGUCCUUACCUCUAGUACCCGGCCCCGUUAGUCCCCAGAAUCUAUAGAAGGGGGAGUGACGGACCCGUGGAAUAGCGGGAUCUCAUUCUUACUAAGGCUCCGUCAUUUCCCGGUGACCCUGUGGUCCCCAGGAAUUCGCGGUACUGGGGACUGACGGGACUCCCACAUAUGCUGAGGGCCCGUUAGUCCCCGUAUUCAGCCUGUGUGUGCCUUCUCUAAUACACACUCACGGGCGUAAUGUACGGGGUUAGAGGGGUAAUAAUAUAAGCCUACAUUUUACAGCUAAGACAGUGUGCUCACGCUGCUGUGAAGAUUUAAAAUAUAAUAUAGAGAUAGAGAAAAUAAUAAGAGAAAAUUCAAAUGGCCAGGGCUGAAUGAGCGGCCCUGUGUCUGUGCGCAUUUGGCACAUGUGGACACGGAGACUCGUGCACUGUUAUACUGUGUCCAAAACUACUGUAUAAUAUGUACAAUGCCAAAAUAGUACAUGUCAAGUGUUCUCUGUCUGUGAGGUAGGUAGAUGGAUAGGUAGGUGAAAAACCUUUCAACACAAAAAAUAAAGAACAUUUCAUUAAUCAUUCAGAUAAAUUAAAUGCAUUAUACAGAAGACAAAUGAAAUAAAAAUACACACUUCAGUAAAGCCACUUUUGUCUAAACUAUCAUUUAUCCUAGUUUUAGUUUUACAUUCAUUAGUUUUUAAAUCAGAGGUGAGUAAUUUCAAACAACAAAGAUGAAAUAAACUGUGGUCUACCUUGCAUUUUUUACACUUUCUGUAACAAUUACAUUUUUAAAGUAUACAUUUUAGAGUUUACAAAUAUUUUAAUAAAGACUUUAACCAAGGAUUUUCUUUUACAAAGAAUUAUUUUCUUUAAAUUAAACCAAACAUAUUUACACUAGUUUUAAGAUUUAACCAAGGAUUUGGGGUAAUUACUUUUAGUAUUAAUUAACGUAAAUGUGUGGGAAACACUAUCUACAUAAACAAUUUAUUCAAACUUAAACAUUUAUUUUAAUAUCAAUAUAAUUUUUUAAACUUAAAUGCAGUAACUAUUUCCCAAAGCAUAAAUACAUUUCCACAAUUGAGCUUCCAUAGUUCCCAAACAUAUAAGCAGCAAAUAUGAGUCCAAGCUUACCGAUAGCCCGUCUAACUCAAAGUCUUCCUCACAGUGGGAAGUGGAUUGUGCUUGGUUUGCUGUCCUCUCAGUAUGUCGCACUCGGGUCAAAUGACUGCUGCAUGCAUUUUAAGGUCUACUAGGCACGCCCGCCCUUGAUUGCUCUAAUUCAACUCACCU